GUGGAGGAGAGGUGAUCUGAGGGAGGGUGGAGGAGAGGUGAUCUGAAGGAGGGUGGAGGAGAGGUGAUCUGAAGGAGGGUGAAGUGAGGAGGCCUUAACCUGGGGUACUCCACCCUUACCUAGGGGACUCAACCCUAACCUAGGGGACUCCACCUUAACCUGGUGGACUCCACCCUUACCUAGGGGACUCCACCCUAAACUGGGGGACUCCACCCUAAACUAGGGUACUCCACCCUAAACUAGGGGACUCCACCCUCCCAGCCGUGUCUUCUCCGUCACCCCAGCCGGGACCACGUCUCUCCUCCAGCUGCUGAUCAGCUGGGAGUGUUGCGCUCUCCCUGCAGCAGCAUACUUUCCACUGGGUGACGUGCUGCUGCACUUCCUGCCC
ensembl:lncRNA